CGGAAGUAGGCCAGGUUGAGCAUGGUUUGGGGGUGACUCUGCAGCUAAGGCCACCCCUCAGGGUUGGCUGCUGUGGCCUGGGCGCUGUGGCACUCUCAGCAGCUGCUUGAUGGGUCUUGCGUUCCAGCACAUUCCACACCAUCAGAGGCGGAGCACGGAGGACCUAGGAUAGGGGAUCUUUGCGCAGGAGCCCAGUGUAUACAGCAGUUUACAGAACUGUGCCUGGCAUAUGUUGGACACUCAAUGAUUGCUGGCUGAACAAAUAAGGAGAUAACCACGUGGAAGAUUUGAGUCAAAUCCUGAUUGAGGGAGGUUAGAACCUGAACCUACACAAUGCUGAAAUAAUCAUCUUUGGAGGGGAAAUGUCUGUCAUCUUAAUUUUGGGGAUUGUGUGACAGUCAUAUAAUGUUUUCAGAGGUAAAACAUGGGAGAACGGAGUCACAUGAAAUUUUAUACUCUGACUUUGGUUUUAAAUAUAAAUCCAGGCAGCACCAGGACAUUUUAAUUAGGGUUCACGCUCUUGAAAUUUUACUUUUAACCAGAAUUUGAGCCAAAGCUGUGGGAACAGUUGAGGAACCCAAGAUGAAGGUCUUUGAGCAAAUUACCCACUCACCCCUAUUUUAAAGGGCCACUCUGUCAAUUAAUUUGAUUCCUAGAUGGUAUAAGUUUAGGCACAUUUUGCCUUUGGUUUCAACUUACUAUAUCAAUAAUUCCUAGUUACAUAAAUAUGCAAGAAUGAGCAAAUGGUUAUCCUCAAUUUUAUCAGGUACUGUGGGUGCUAGAUGUGUUCAGGCACACACACACAUACAGACACACACGCACACACACUUUUUUUUCAAUUGCAGAGUUUUAAAAGUAUUACUUUUCUGUAACUUUUUUUUUAAUUUUGAAAUAAUUCUAGACUUACAGAAAAGUUGCAAAAAUGAUACAAGGACUCUUCAUCAAGAUCCCCCAAAUUUAUAUUUAUGUCUAAAUCCUUCAGUGAAAAUUUCCAAAAGACAAGGACAUUUCCUAUAAACCACAGCACAAUUAUUAAAAUCAGAAAUUAACAUUCAUAUGAUGCUAUUAUCCAACUGAUAGACUUUCUAUCAAUUAUCCAACUGAUAGACUUUCUAUCAAUUGUUAUCAACUGAUAGACUUUUCAAUCAAUUGUUUCCUUCGUCUGGGCCAGAAGCCAGUCUAGGAUCACACAUUGCAUUUAAUUUGUGUCUGUUUAGCCUCCUUUCAUCUGGAACAGUUCCUUAACCAUUGUUUUCAUAACCUUGAGACUUUUGAGUACAGGUUAGUUAUUUUGUAGAAUAUCCCUCGAUUUAGGUUUUCUUUUUUUUUUUUUUUAAAUGAUGAGAUGCAGGUUUGAGAUUUCCGGCAAGAAAGUUGCAAAAAUGAUGCUGUGAGCAUUUCAAUUUCUUCUAUCUUGAGGCCCACGGUGCCCUAUUGUUUCAUGACUGGUACACAUUGUCAUGGGCUGAGUCAUGUCCCCUAAAAUUCAGAUGUUGAAGCCCUAACCUCUAGUUUCUCAGAAUGUGGUAGGAUUUGGGGACAAGUUCUUUAAAAAGGUGAUUAAGUUAAAACGAAGUCAUUAGGGCGAGCCCUAAUCCAACAUGAUUGGUGUUUUCAUAUGAAGAGGAAAUCUGCUGGGUGCGGUGGCUCGUGCCUGUAACCCCUGCACUUUGGGAGGCCGAGGUAGGUGGAUCAUUUGAGGUCAGGAGUUUGAGACCAGCCUGACCAACAUGGUGAAACCCCUGUCUCUACUAAAAAUACAAAAAUUACCUGGGUGUGGGGGCACACCUCUAUAGUUUCAGCUACUUGGGAGGCCAAGGCAUGAGAAUUGCUUGAACCUGGGAGGCAGAGAAGGCAGUGAGCUGAGAUUGCACCACUGCGCUCCAGCAUGGAUGACAGAGUGAAACUGUCUCAAAAAAAAAAAAAAAAAAAGAUAAAAUUUGGACAGACAUGUACAAAUGGAGGAUGCUAUGAAGACUCAGGGAGAGAGUGGCUGUCUGCAAGCCAAGAAGAGAGGCCUGGAAGAACAGUCCCUUCCCUCAUGGCCCCCAGAAGGAAACAGCCCUCCUGAUGCCUCGAUCUUGAACUUCCAGCCUCCACAGGUAUGGGAAAAUAUAUUUCUGUGAUUUAAGCCACCCAGUCUGUGGUACUAUGG
rnacentral:lncRNA from 1 species